GACGAACGCUGGCGGCGUGCCUAAUACAUGCAAGUCGAACGCAUUUUCUUUCACCGUAGCUUGCUACACCGAAAGAAAAUGAGUGGCGAACGGGUGAGUAACACGUGGGUAACCUGCCCAUCAGCGGGGGAUAACACUUGGAAACAGGUGCUAAUACCGCAUAAUUCCAUUUACCGCAUGGUAGAUGGGUGAAAGGCGCUUUUGCGUCACUGAUGGAUGGACCCGCGGUGCAUUAGCUAGUUGGUGGGGUAACGGCCUACCAAGGCUGCGAUGCAUAGCCGACCUGAGAGGGUGAUCGGCCACACUGGGACUGAGACACGGCCCAGACUCCUACGGGAGGCAGCAGUAGGGAAUCUUCGGCAAUGGACGCAAGUCUGACCGAGCAACGCCGCGUGAGUGAAGAAGGUUUUCGGAUUGUAAAACUCUGUUGUUAGAGAAGAACAAGGAUGAGAGUGGAAAGUUCAUCCCUUGACGGUAUCUAACCAGAAAGCCACGGCUAACUACGUG
rnacentral:rRNA from 1 species